rfam:Hordeum vulgare subsp. vulgare, WGS project CAJW01000000 data, contig: morex_contig_54050
GAAGUACUACCUCCGUCCGAAAAUACUUGUCCUAGAGAUGAAUGUAUCUAGACUUAUUUUAAUUGUAGAUACAUUUAUUGUAUGUAUUUUUAGGACAAGUAUUUCGGGACGAAGGGAGUAUUAA